GAUGAACGCUGGCGGCGUGCCUAAUACAUGCAAGUCGAGCGAACAGACGAGGAGCUUGCUCCUCUGACGUUAGCGGCGGACGGGUGAGUAACACGUGGAUAACCUACCUAUAAGACUGGGAUAACUUCGGGAAGCCGGAGCUAAUACCGGAUAAUAUAUUGAACCGCAUGGUUCAAUAGUGAAAGACGGUUUUGCUGUCACUUAUAGAUGGAUCCGCGCCGCAUUAGCUAGUUGGUAAGGUAACGGCUUACCAAGGCAACGAUGCGUAGCCGACCUGAGAGGGUGAUCGGCCACACUGGAACUGAGACACGGUCCAGACUCCUACGGGAGGCAGCAGUAGGGAAUCUUCCGCAAUGGGCGAAAGCUUGGCGGAGCAACGCCGCGUGAGUGAUGAAGGUCUUCGGAUCGUAAAACUCUGUUAUUAGGGAAGAACAAAUGUGUAAGUAACUAUGCACGUCUUGACGGUACCUAAUCAGAAAGCCACGGCUAACUACGUG
rnacentral:rRNA from 1 species